rnacentral:rRNA from 1 species
GACGAACGCUGGCGGCGUGCUUAACACAUGCAAGUCGAACGGAAAGGCCCUGCUUGCAGGGUGCUCGAGUGGCGAACGGGUGAGUAACACGUGGGUGAUCUGCCCCUUACUUUGGGAUAAGCCUGGGAAACUGGGUCUAAUACUGGAUAGGACCAUGCUGUAGGUGGUGUGGUGGAAAGAUUAGUUUCGGUAAGGGAUGAGCUCGCGGCCUAUCAGCUUGUUGGUGGGGUAAUGGCCUACCAAGGCGUCGACGGGUAGCCGGCCUGAGAGGGUGGACGGCCACAUUGGGACUGAGAUACGGCCCAGACUCCUACGGGAGGCAGCAAUGGGGAAUAUUGCACAAUGGGCGCAAGCCUGAUGCAGCGACGCCGCGUGGGGGAUGACGGCCUUCGGGUUGUAAACUCCUUUCAGCCAUGACGAAGCCUUCGGGUGACGGUAGUGGUAGAAGAAGCACCGGCUAACUACGUG